AUCCAAAAAGCCUUUAGGAGAGCUGAGAGGCACAGGGGACCAGCAAGAAACCUUGGAGCUAUGGGGCAGUUUCCAUAUGAGGAGAGAAUAUGCAGCGGGACUCCUGGCAGGCCAUGAGAUGGCAAAGCAGGAGAGCCACGUCUGCGGGUUUGCCGGGAGCCAACCACCACAACCAGCUGCACAGCUGAGCCCAGGAGCACCAGGCUGAGUGCACACAACCCAGCAAUGAGGUACGUGCUCUAAAUCACCUUCCUUUGCAUGUUUCUUUUUUCUUUUUUUUUUUUUUUUUGCCUCCAAGAACCUUUCAGAGGUUACCAGUUAGGGAAAGUGAAUCCCAGUGACGUGUGGUGUUACUCUGGUUCUCACCUCUUCUAUCGACAGAGCUGUUUCCAUCCCUGGAUAUCUUUCCUACCUCUUCAGUUUGUGCCCAUACCGGGGGAGGAAGAUCUUUGCAACACUUUCACUGUACUUGAUCAAGUGAUGCUGUGACUGCUUAUUUAAUAUGGCAAAGCUGAUAAAGAAUUAUCAAAUGGCUUGCAGUUGAAGCUUUCAGCAUUAGUCUGGCACCAAAACUGUGCAAAACGAUAGGGUCAAACUCAGCAAACCACAGCUAAAUUCAGGGGGUGGAAACCACAUAAGCCAAGGGCAAAACUCACAUCCCGCUGUGUGGGACUGGGUUUAUUGCUACGUGUAGGAGUUUCCCAGGAAGUUAUGAGGCUGAUGGCAAAGACUGAAGCAGACCUUUCACAACAGUAAAAAUUGAUUUAAUGGCUUUAUAUUUUGUGCUCCCAAAAGGCCCUAGCGUGACUAUGUGUUUUGAUAGUGCAAUAGCUCGCAGCUUUGCCAUCUCUGCUUCGGUAAUUUCUUUGUGCACUCACCUUAUUCCUGGGAAACAAGAAUCCUCAGGAAGGGAAGCAGCCUCCUCCCCAGGGCUGCCUGCCUGGUGCUGAGCAGCCGAAAGCCCUGUCAGUCUCGCCGAGGAGCUACAGAGAGCAGAAGUACCUCCCCGGCAGCCUGACCUUGGCAAGGAGACCGGGGACUCGACAUUUGCGACAGGCAGCAGCUCCCUUUAAUAAAUAUUUCACGGCAGAGAGCCGCAGACUUGGGGAGAAAAUGGAGGGCAGGGUUCAGCCAGUGACGCAAGGUGAUGUGACCGGACCUUGUCUAGCGGGGCUGGAGGCCACCUAAUUGGCAUUCCUGCGCCAUGCUUGUGGAGAGCAUUCUCAAGUCCUCUGGGAACACAAAAAUAAUUAAAAGGCCCCUCAGCACACAGUGUUGCUAAUGGGCUAUUGCCUGCCAUGUGAUGUUUUUGUGCUCAAUUAGAGCCGAGCAACAUAGACUGCUAAAAAUUCACGUCUCCCUCUGAGAGACACCUGGGUGGACCAGAUCUCCUCUUCGGAUGCACAAUGGCCCUCCUCGCACAUCAGUGCCCUGCGGCGUUCACGAUAAGGAGCUGAAAGAAGAAGCGACAGCGAAGCUUCGUGCGGCAAAGUACACACUGCUUUGUUUGCUGCUCGGCAGCGUGAGCUCCAGCACGGGCAGCCUGAGCGUUCGGCUCAGAGCAGCCAUCCCGGCAUGCCCUCGGCACCGCCGCGGUGACCUUGGGCUGCAGAAUGACUGUGCAUAUGGCGUGAAGCUGAGGCCCUGGACCUCUUCCAGGCGAGCGCUCGCUCGCGCACAGCAUGUCUGUGCGGCUGCUGGCUGCUCCCGGCGCAGUGCAUGCUCAGCCGGCGCCAGCUGCGGCUGCCUGGCACUGAGCCUCCACAGACCCCCUCCCUCACCCCCAGCCUUGUGCUCCGCACAGACCCUUUAUGAGGUGAUGCCAAGAGACCUAUCAACACCUUCCAUGCUUUAUCAAGAGAGAUCCGGCCACCUAAAGACAGUUUCUCUCUGCAAUAUCAGCUGUGCUUUGUGCCUAGGCCCUCUCCUGUUUAACAGCUCUCCUGUGCCAGCUCGGUGCCCGGUGCCUGCUCCCCACAGCCCUGAUGCAUUCUGCAAGCCAUCCGUGGUGCGUCAUUUGGGCCCAAACAAUUCAUCUCUGAGGUACACUUGGUUGAGUAUUCAUGGGCUAAACUUUAGGUAAUUAGCAUUGUUAAUGUUCUCUGUGCGAUAUUACAGCUGUGGGCCUCAUUAAAACAUCCUCUUGGGAGAAGCCAGGCAAAGAGUCAGGUGUCAGCCGUGCUCUGCGUGGAAAAGCCCGCCUGCUAUUCGGGAGCGUUGUUUGUUCAAACACAGGACAGGAGGGCCCCGGGUCACCUUCCUGCAGCACCGCCAUGAACAAAGCCGAUUGUCCCACCCUGCCUCCAUUCUCUAUGCAAGGAGUGGGUGAGGUGAGCACAUGGCAGCCGUUACUACUCCGGGCAGUGCCCCCACGAGGGGCCUGGAGGAGUCUGCAUAACUCAGGCAGUGAGAGCUUCAAGGAUGGGCUCUGCAUUCGCUCUUUUUGUGACCUUUCUGAGUCCUUUUCCCCAGGCCGGCAGCAGCUGGUCGGGCAAUUAUUUAUGAAUGAGAGCGGAGCUUUUCCAGCUGAAGGUGGUUGCUGUGGGCAGAUGCCAGAGCAACACAUGGGCACAUCCCAGCUGUUUGCAGGCUCCGAGCUCUGUCAGAGAUGUAUGUUAACAGAUACAGACACACGUGUGAUUGUCAUCUUGCCAUCCUCUGAAACCAAUGGCUUCAGCUUUUGGGUAAGUUUUUCCAGCAACUGUUAUUUUUCUGCUAUUUCUUGGGGUGUUCUGGGAGGCUGCUUAGAUGGCUGACAUCUCUUCCUCCCUUUUCACAUUAGCUAGUUAAAUGUCCUCCCUUUCCACAGAUCUUUUUGCUGGUGGGAGCAGUAGGUAGGUGGUUGGAAGAGCAAAGGGAUGGAGAGAUCCAGUGUAGGUACCGGGUUCCUGGUGUGAAGCUGAGGGGCUGGCUGGGAAUGAGGAGUGGUAAUGGGUGAGUGGAAGGAAGCCAAACACAAUGGAAAGUGGGAAAGAAGAGAAUGCAGGAUGGGGAUGAAAGAUUACCUGACUGCAGGGAGAUGAUUUAUAUAGUGGGAUGCUGAUUUGUAUUAUGCAAAUAACAAGCACCCACUGUGCAAUGUUUCCUUGGUUUUGUUGUGGUGGUAGAAGAGGGUUGGCUGCCUCCCAUGCUGCUGCUACUGCCAGUGCUGAAGAAAACAGUGUCCUUUCCAGAGCUGUGCUGACAGCAUCGGCUGUCAGCACCCAAACUCAGAUGCAAACAGAACCACCUUCCUGUGUCUGUGGAGUUAAAAAAGAAAAUUAGGAAGAAAGUAGGCUUUGUCUGGUGAAGGACUGGAGUCAAAAGACAGGCCUUCUAACAUGUCACUUUCAGGCUGCUGUAGCAAGGCAGAGUAAAAUGGAAGGUCCCUAUCUCUGGAAUCAAAAUGGUGAUGGUUAAUGACCAUCUGUCUGUCUUAACAGUGUUGUUUAAUAACUUCUCUUUCACUUCCUGUCUGUUUUAGCCCAGCUUCCUAAGGGAAGAAGAGCAAGUGCAGCCAUGAAAUCAUCUGCUUCCUACUAAUGUUUUCUAAACUCCUUGGUCCUUUUGGCCAAGUACAGUGAAACCAUACGGUUGUUAAAUUCUUAUAAUUUUUAUGAAAACACAUGACGAGCAGAGCGGGGAGAUAGAAUAAGAAAUGUCUCGUUAGUCCCUUCUGAAUGAAAGGACACAGCAUGACAUUAUACCAUACUAAGCACUAGGGAAUGAGAAAGAUUACGAUUCCCCCAUCUCAAUGGAAAUUUGCAAUCAGAGCCUGCGACUUAAAGGUACUGGAGAAUCCCAGUAAGCAAUAGAAAGCCACAGAAAAAAAUGCUCCAUUUCAUCUGCUGUUCGUGGCACAUCAUCUCUCAUGCUAUGGUUGAAGGAUAAAAAUGUCUUCUGGAAAUUUCACGGAGGACAGCGUGAGGCCAAGAGCACAGGAGGGUAAGUGUAAUUACCUUGGUCAGCUCCUCUGGUAAGCGCUCAGCUGAUUCAGAUUGGAGUACCUCCAUUAAAUCUGCAGUUUUACACCUGCCAAGAAUCUGAGCCAUCAAAUUUGUGCUCAGAAAAAUGUUUAUCUCUUCUUUCACUUUUUUUUUUUUCUUCAGUCCCCAGAGAGGGCAGGAAGCUGACCGGAGAAUUAUUUUCCUACUGAAGUGCUGCUAAUAAAAGUGUAAGGCAUUGGUAGCAUUACCUGUAGCACCAGGCCAUCCCUUGUGCUUUUUGGAACUUUUUACUGCAGCUAAAACCAAGGAUCAUUUCUGUCAUCCUGGACUUUCUCAGAGAUGGGAGGAGUCUGGGCCAGAGGGAGCUCGGGUGGGUCCAGUUUUCUCUUGGUCCUCUCCAAAUAUCCACAGCUUGUCCAUUCCAGAGGUGGUCUGUGCCAUGCCAGGACCUCUGUAUACGUGCAGCAGAAACCAAGGACAGAAGUAAGAGUGGGAAUCACGUAAGGAAAACGAUUUUGUUUCAGGAGAAAUCAGAGUAGGGUUCUAUAUGAUGAUAGAGGCUAGAACAGUGCAAUAUUAACAACAUCUUCACUAAUAACACUAACUUUGGAGAAUUGCUGGGCACAGGGCUUUUAUCCAAUGUAACUAGCUCUCCUGUGUUUCCUUUGCUGUGAACUUAUGCAGAAGAGUAGCAGAAUAAUAACUCUCCAGCAGAUGUGCAUUUCCACGUACAGGAGAUCAGUGGUGGCACCAGCGAGGCGCGCAGAUUCUGCCGGGUGCCUCCUGCAAUGCUGAGCAGAGCCCACAUCCAAAUGAUCCUGAAGGGAAGCGACCCUUCUGCAGGGGCAGCGCAGUGACCUGAUCAAGGGAGGCUUUGUAGCUCACUGCUUGCUGGUUGUGCCCCCGUCCUCCAGUUACCUGCCCAACGGACUUGUGUGCUCAUCCCUAUCCCGAUGCUGCAGUGCACGUGAAUUCAGCCACAUUAUUUCUGAAUCGGAGUCCCCAGGCACCUUGUUUAAUUUAUGCUGCAACUUUCUUAUCGUCCCUGGAAAUGCAAUCGGAAAGGAAAAAUCCAUGCAGCAGAUCUUUCGGCGAGGGAAGCUGCCGAUGGUGGUUACACAGCGAGCCAAUGGGAGUGAGCAGCAGUGUGUGUCCCUGAACAAACAAGUUAUCAGUAAAAAACGGCAGCUUUGAUCAAUUGGUGUUUUCAAUUGCCUCCUUGUGAAGCUGUAGCCCAAUACUUCAGGUUGGGCCUUUCAAAUCUGUCUGGUGAUUCUCGAAAAAGGGCUGCACAGAGCAACGUCUCCUCCCCUCCACCUCCUGGUUUCAGGCAUUUCAGAUUAGCCCAGCAUCCCUGAGCUUAUGCCUGGCGAUCUGAUUGUUUGUUCACCUCCUUCUGAGCCCAGGCGUUUGCCUUUGGCCUCUGUUGCUUUCCUGUGCUUUGUCUCAUUUUCACUCAUACGCAGAGCAUGAGGAAUCUGCAUGUCCUCAGCAUCUCAGAGGGGCUGGUGAGAGUGCAACUGGGGAAUACACCCUGGGGAAAGCAGCUGGAGCAGGAGCUGAGCCCUUCGAGGCAGUGCUGUUUGCCAGGCUCUUUGCCUGGCUCUUUGCAGAGCUGCCAUCCCCACUGACAGCUUCUGGAGCCUCUCAGGGAAUGUCCCCCAGGGUCUGCCUUUGGGCCUCUGGCUCUGCAGCCCCAGUAGGAGGUGGAUGGCAUUAGCACAGCACCACUUUUAUGGCCCAGCAGCAUUCGGUGGCCUGUAGAGCUGUGGGUACGAGGAUAAAUUAGCAUGCAUGUCUCCAUGUCUCUUAGGCCCACAGCAUCCAGGUCUCAUAACUCUUCCUUUCUCUGUGCUGUCCUGAUGCCUCUAUUGUUUCUCAUCAGCUCUCAUUAUGUUGAUUUAACAUCUGCAUUACCAGGGUAGAAAUACCUCUUGUUCUUCCCCUGCUUCUUCAAGACAGAGUUAUGCAGCUGCAGUGAGUCCUUCGGAGUGCAUUAGUGGCAGUCCUGACCCACAGCCAUCUCUUACUAAUCUAUUCAUGAUGACAGACCAAACUCUCCAGCCCUACAGACCAUAAUGAAAAGGUGUGGGAGAGAACAGGCUUGUAUUGUCCUGUGACCUGGGGAAAGCACAGUUGUCAUGCUCCCUGCAGAGGCACUGAUGCAGCUGCAUUUCAGGUAUGUUGAUGGCAAUCAGGACAGCUGGUUUUGGUACUGCCAGAAGGGUGGUGGUUGCCUGUUUGGACCCCUGCAGAUGUGUAGGACUUCCACAAGGGCAGAAAAGCCCCAGUAAGUACAUGAGUCAGCUGCUCCAUGCUGCCUUCUUGUGUGGAGCCAGGCGGAGAAUACUGCCCAGGAGUAAGACUAGGACAAAGAAGGCACAGAAUGGCUACAAGGCAUGGUGCAAAAACAGCAGGUUUAGUUUCCUCCAAAAUGGCACAAAAGUGACUAUCCCACAGCCAUACACUGUGGUAGAAGAUUCCUUCAAAGCAAAGCUUUGGCUGUUUUGAAAUGAGGUCUUAUCUUGUUAGGAAACACUGUUCCCAGAGUUGCUAAGAAAUACUGCUGGACUCCACAGCUCAGCACCUGGUUUAGAUUCAUUCAAGAAGCAACAAGGAGCUCACCUGAAAUGGAGCCCGUGGCUUCCUUGGGAGGCAGCUCCAGACUGAGAAACCAGCUUUGCCCCCAGCACCUCAGCCCAGGGCCUUCUGCAGCCUGACUCCAACCGGGCUGCCUUGCUUGUAGGGCAGCCCCAGGCUCCCUGCAAACCCAGGACCUCUGUGAAACAUUCAUCACUCCUGGAGUGCCUGCAGCAGAGCCUGAGCAAAGCUUUGUGCCUUGUGAGAUCUGAAGAUUUAUCGUGGUUUGAAGAGUUAAUCAUGUGACACUUCCCUUGUUUUCUUUGCACCUCCUGAUCUUGGUUUGUGCCUCCUGUGUGCAGUGAUGCUGCUUUGUGUUGGGUCUUGGAAGCUGCUGGAAACCCAGUGUAAGAGCGGGAAGCUGGCUGUUCCUGGCCUUUCUGCAGACAGGUACCACUGGGAAUACUGCAAGCACAGAAGGUCAUGUAGCUGCGGACUCUGCUCUCAGACAAGAGCCUUCAUCCCUCCCUGCUGGGCUUCUGCCUGCCUGGGGAGGCAGAAUACUGGGGACUUGGCAUGGCCACAGAGCCAGGGGAGACUAAGGGCAAGCAGACCACGAUGGGAGACUGCACGGGAGUGUGUCAGAGACAGGAGGAAAGGGGAAAUGAAGAGGAAAUCCCGUAUUUAGCUCUCAGCUGCAGUUGAGUUGCUAGGAAAAAAAAUCUUUACUCGCAGCAGUGGAAAGGUUAGUUCCCUUGAACCUCUCUCCCUCUCCAUCCCAAAGCCUGUUUCAGAAAUAAUCAAAGUAUUUAAUUAAUAUUGUACUGGUUCAAAUAAGUACAGUCAUCUUCCAGGAGGAUGUACACAUCAGGCUAUAAUUAGGAGCCUCCUUGGUACCAAGCCAUGUGAGGUGACAGUUCACUGUUCCCAUUACAUACUACAUUUUUCUAUAUCGUUGCUCAGUCAUGAGUGAAUAUGAACUGAAUUAACCAGCCUCAGCAGAGAGGAAGGAUUGGGUGAACCACGGUGGGGACUGGAGGAGCAGUGGAUGAUUUUUCUAUUUGGGAAUUUACUGAGACCCAUCAACACCUGAGCUAAAUGAAUACUUCUUCAACAGAUAAUGAGCCAUGCCUUCCUUGGCUGAACAUCUUUCUCCUGCUGAGGUGGAGGGUGGUGCUUCUUCCAACCCACUGGAAGAUCUCCCUUUCUCAAACGGAGCCUGAUGGGUGAAGAAGAAAUGGCACUUAGAAAAUCCCAACUGUUCUUGAAUGCCUUUUCCUCCUAGAUCCUGAGUUAACUGCUCAGACAUGAUGGGCCACGUGAGGAAGCACAAGGACCGUGUCUCAGAGCAGAAGCGACUUUCUGCUGGUGGAGGACAGUUAUUUGGGAGGCCGAGUCUCUGAGCAUCGGCACCCUCCAACCACACUCACCAUUUUCCAGCAUCGGAUCAUGGCUGGGCAGUGGAAAGGCUGCAACUGAGAAACAAAGGCAGAAACAAGCCCUUACAUGUCUUAUAUACCAAAAAUUCCCUUCGCUUGACCCAGUAAAAUGAGGCUUAAUAUGUAUAUUUCUGGCAUUGUAGUCAAGACCAGCUUCACAGUUUUUUUUUCCCCUCAGGAAGACCACCACCACCAUUACAGUGAAACCAGUUCAGGGGUUUAUGUAGUUUUUCAGUGACCCUAUUGUAUUUUCUGGGAGUAAUAUUUCUGUUUUUUUUUUCCCCCCUUUCCUCCCCCCCUCAUUCCAAGAAACUAUUGAUACACAUGUAAAGAUGUAAUGUCUUUUAUAAAAAUGCUUGCUUAUAAGAAGAAAAGCAGUCCAGGUCUUUGCCAAUAGAAUAAAUAAAAGAUAACAUUUUCAGUGAGCAGAUCAGA